rnacentral:rRNA from 1 species
UACGGGGGGGCAAGGCGUUGUUCGGAAUUACUGGGCGUAAAGGGCGCGUAGGCGGCUUUGCAAGUGACGGGUGAAAGUCCCUCGGCUUAACCGAGGAACUGCCUGUCAAACUGCAUGGCUUGAGACCGGGAGAGGUGAGUGGGAAUUCCCGAGUGUAGCGGUGAAAUGCGUAGAUAUUGGGAGGAACACCAGUGGCGAAGGCGGCUCACUGGACCGGUACUGACGCUGAUGACGCGAAAGCGGUGGGGAGCAAACAGGGAUUAAGAAACCC